rnacentral:rRNA from 1 species
CCUGCUUUCAGUUGCUACCGGGUCAUGCCGAGCACUCUGAAAGGACUGCCCAGGAUAACGGGGAGGAAGGUGGGGAUGACGUCAAGUCAGCAUGGCCUUUAUGCCUGGGGCCACACACGUGCUACAAUGGCCGGUACAAAGCGCUGCAAACCCUGCUUUCAGUUGCUACCGGGUCAUGCCGAGCACUCCGAAAGGACUGCCCAGGAUAACGGGGAGGAAGGUGGGGAUGACGUCAAGUCAGCAUGGCCUUUAUGCCUGGGGCCACACACGUGCUACAAUGGCCGGUACAAAGCGCUGCAAACCCUGCUUUCAGUUGCUACCGGGUCAUGCCGAGCACUCUGGAAGGACUGCCCAGGAUAACGGGGAGGAAGGUGGGGAUGACGUCAAGUCAGCAUGGCCUUUAUGCCUGGGGCCACACACGUGCUACAAUGGCCGGUACAAAGCGCUGCAAACCCUGCUUUCAGUUGCUACCGGGUCAUGCCGAGCACUCUGAGAGGGCUGCCCAGGAUAACGGGGAGGAAGGUGGGGAUGACGUCAAGUCAGCAUGGCCUUUAUGCCUGGGGCCACACACGUGCUACAAUGGCCGGUACAAAGCGCUGCAAACCCUGCUUUCAGUUGCUACCGGGUCAUGCCGAGCACUCUGAAAGGACUGCCCAGGAUAACGGGGAGGAAGGUGGGGAUGACGUCAAGUCAGCAUGGCCUUUAUGCCUGGGGCCACACACGUGCUACAAUGGCCGGUACAAAGCGCUGCAAACCCUGCUCUCAGUUGCUACCGGGUCAUGCCGAGCACUCUGAAAGGACUGCCCAGGAUAACGGGGAGGAAGGUGGGGAUGACGUCAAGUCAGCAUGGCCUUUAUGCCUGGGGCCACACACGUGCUACAAUGGCCGGUACAAAGCGCUGCAAAC